AAUUGGUCAUUUUGCACCGUCAAAAGAGACUCCACAACAAUCCAUUUCUUCACCGCCUCUUCUCAUCCGUAUCUGUUUACCAACUCACCUAUCUUUCUUGAUUUCUUGAUCAUUCAUCUCGCUGCUUCUCCGUCUUCUUCAGCUGAUGAAGAUGCAGUUGCUUUCUCAUUGGCGACGAAUCGAUUGUCAACUCCUCAAACUAAUAGCUAUUGGAAUUAAUUUUUUAGAAUUCUAAAGUUAGUUUCGAGCUGUGAAAAAUUUCAGGUUUACUCGGAAUGUCUGGAGUUUCUGCAAGAGGUUUACUAUAUCAACAUGGGCAGUGUGAUCCCAAGAUUAUCCACAGGGAUGUGAAGGCUGCAAACAUAUUGCUCGACGAUGACUGUGAGGCUGUUGUGGGAGAUUUCGGAUUGGCAAAGCUUUUGGAUCAUCGCGAUUCGCAUAUCGCAACUGCAGUUAGGGGAACCGUAGGACAUAUAGCUCCUGAGUAUCUCUCUACAGGACAGUCCUCUGAUAAAACAGAUGUUUUCGGGUUUGGCAUUCUCCUUCUAGAGUUGAUAUCUGGCCAGAGAGCUGUUGAAUUUGGUAAAGCAGCAAAUCAGAAAGGCGUUAUGCUUGAUUGGGUAAGUAUUAUGCAUUCCAAAAUUUGAUAAACGGCAAUUUGUCUUACUUACAGAUUUAGUUUGUUUAGGAUCAAAAUGCCUCUGACCUUUGUAUAUUUAGUAAGUUCUGAAUUUUAACAUUCCCAUUUACAUCGAAUGACAUUCCCUUAUAGAAAUGACCAUAUAUGCUUAAGAUUGAAAGUUUAUUUUUUGGAAUAUUAUACACGUUCAGUUCAAGACCACAAGCUUCAAAAGUCUUAUUUACAUAAUACUUAAACUUUGCGCUCGGUCAAACUAAGACAAACAAAAAGAAAUGGAGAGAGUAUAUUGAUUCGUGUUGGGGUUGACAAUAUUAUGUGACUUCAUAUACAUUAAGAAAAGCCUAUCCUUCGUAGGCUAUUGCAUUAACCUCUUGACUGAACAGGAAGUCUGCAACAUAGUUGUUGUUUCAUUGUUCGUUUGACCUAGAAAUUCAUCAAAAAGAAAAAUUUACUUUGUUGUUUAUUUCUCUAAGCCAUAUUUAUGGGAAGUCUGAUUUAUUUUUAUAUAUGGUGAAUUGUUGUAGUUCUGCAGAGGCAGUGAAUCGUAUUAAUCACUUUCAGGAAUUUAUGCUACUAAUUGAACUGCAGAUGAUUCUUUUUAUUAUAUCUUUGAAAAUAAAGUUCAUUUUUAACCCUGCGAAAGAAUCAUUUUUCCUGGAAAAAGUAUUCCUGUAAUUCUAUCUGUGUAGUUACGAAAUCCAAGAAAAAGGUCUUAUGGAACUUUGUUGUCGUUGUUGGUAUAGCAUCAUAUCUGGGAGUACCUAAUAAUAAUAAGCAUCCAAGUGAGUUCUUUUGCAGAACUUUGAAUGCCAGUGAUACAAGCACACAUGGUGGUUUUUCUGUUCCUAGAAGAGCAGCGGAAAAGUUGUUCCCACCCUUGGAUUACUCGAUGCAACCUCCAACACAAUAGCUUGUUGUAUGAGACUUGCACGAUAAUACUUGGACAUUUCGUCACAUAUACCGCGGGAAGCCGAAGCGACAUCUUCUCACAACUGGAUAGAGCAUGUUUGUUGGGGCAAAACGCCUUAGAGCUGGUAAUUUUGUUCUAUUUUUCAGGUAUUGCAAAAACAAAGUACUGAAAGUUGCACCCGCAUGAAUUUUUCAAUGUUGAGAAAUAGGGAUGAGAAGUCACAAUUAUUGCUGGGACUGAAGCGGGCUAACCAUCAGCAAACCUCAUUGCCCUCUUCAGUCCUGUCUGCUGAUAGUACGUAUAUUGAAGUACUUGCAGCUGCUGCGUGCUAAUAGAAGCACAUUCACAAUAUUCUACAAUCCUAGUUUUCUUGCAGAUAUUCGAGAAAUUGCAAAAGAAGGCUGUGGUCUGAUUAGCCUACAGGAAAACCUUCUUUCAGAUCUUUUGAAAAAGGAUAAGAUUGAUCUGAGUGAUAUUGAUAGAGGAGUGUCCAUGAUCAAAGAAUGUUUAGUCCAUAAAAAGUUUCUUGUUCUUGAUGAUGUUGAUGAUUUGAAUCAACUGAAAGGAUACUUGAUUCAAGAGAUUGGAUUCCUCCAGGGAGUAAAGUAAUUAUAACGACUACAAAUGAACACUUGCUAAACCCUCAUGAUGCUUAUGUGAUAUAUGAAAGCAAAAGGUUGGACAAUCAAGAGGCGCUUCAGUUCUUCAGCUUUCUUUUAUUUGGUCAGGACCUACUGUCAAGGAGUACAUAAAGCAAUCCAAGUAGAUAGUUAAACAUUGUCAAGGGGUUCCUUUAGCUCUUCAGGUUCUAUCCUCUUCACUACGUGGUGGAAGUAUAGAUAUGAAGGAAGAUGCAAUAAAGAAAUUAGAAAGAUAUUCUGACUGCCAUAACCAUAAAUUUCUUGAACUAAGCUAUGAAGCUUUGUCAGAUGACCAUGAUAAAAAUGUAUUUCUUGAUAUUGCUUGCUUCUUUGUUGGGAAGGACAAAGACUGUACAAUCAAAGUUCUGGAUGAUUGUGGUUUCCAUGCUGCUGCUGAAAUACGGAAUCUCAUAGAUAUCUCCUGGCAGCGACUCCUGACAACAAGCUAAUGAUGCACCAGUUACAACAGGAAAUGGGUAAAGAGGUCAUCUGCCGAGGAUCACCCAUAGAACCUGGUAAAUGUAGCCGAAGUGGUUUCUCUGGUGAAAAUUUUGUAGUUCUUGAAAUGAGCAAUAGCAACUUGCAUCAAACCUGGGAGGAAGCAAAAUUUUGCCAACUUCCUCACGUGUUAACUUUUUUUCUGAUUGUAUUCUAACAAAUUUGAUUUUUUUUAU